rnacentral:rRNA from 1 species
AAGGGUGAGUUGCUUGAGGAAACCUGCCUGGACCUUAAGACAACUAUUGGAUCGACCCUAAGACCGCGCCUCAUACAUUGAAAUCGCGGAACCUUUGAAACAUGGCCUGCGUCACUACCCGAUGGACCUGCGUUGUUUUAGAUAGUUGGGGUGGUUACGCCUCACAUCUCCGAUGGUCAUAGACGACCUGAGACGCUGAUCGGCCGAAACGGGGCUGAGACUCCGCCCGGACUCCUACGGGGGGAAUAUUGCGGGAAUCUUCAGCAAUGGGGGGAACCCGGACCGAGCAUGACCAAGGGCUUGAGGAAGGUUUGCUGAUCGAAAAGCUCUGUUCUUUUUAAGAAAUAGUCUGAGAGAGGAAAGUUAACUCCGUGACAGUAUCUUACUAAAUCGGGGCCGCCAACCACGUGCCUACAGACGGUGCAAUACUUAAGCCCCGAACCUGGUCCGGAUUUAUUGGGCGCGGUGACUUUGCUGGCGGUGUGUAUAACCCUGACUUAAACGGCUGUGUCUUAUCCAUACUGUGCUUUGAAAACUGUUUAACUAGAGUGCAAAUCGCGAUGUAGCAAUUCCAUGCGUAGCGAUGUAGUGCAAUUCCCAUAUGCAAGAGCACCCGCUUGCGAAUGUACUGAUCUGCUCGGUACUGACGCUGAGGCUCACAGCUUAGAGACCAUGCUGGACCACAUACCCUGCU